rnacentral:rRNA from 1 species
UAUGUGAUCGUCUCUCGCAUAUCAAUAAGCGGAGGAAAAGAAACUAACAAGGAUUCCCCUAGUAACGGCGAGUGAAGCGGGAAGAGCUCAAAUUUGAAGUCUUAAAGGGUUUCCCUUUACGAAUUGUAGUUUAAAGAAGUGUUUUCUGUUGAGGUUUUGGUAAAAGUUCUUUGGAAUAGGACAUCAUAGAGGGUGAGAAUCCCGUAUUUGACCUUUACUUUCAACUUUGUGAUACACUUUCAAAGAGUCGGAUUGUUUGGGAAUGCAGUCCAAAAUGGGUGGUAAAUUUCAUCUAAAGCUAAAUAUUGGCGAGAGACCGAUAGCGAACAAGUACCGUGAGGGAAAGAUGAAAAGAACUUUGAAAAGAGAGUUAAACAGUACGUGAAAUUGUCAAAAGGGAAGCGUUUGACACCAGUGUUGUAUUUCUGAAAAUCAAUUAAAGAACUGUUUAUGCUAAGUUGUUUAGACUUUAUCAGCUAUCUGUUUAGUUUUGAGCUUUUCUUUAAUGCACUUUUCAGUUAACAAGUCAACAUCAAUUUCUUUUGCUGUAAAAAAGCUUGAGGAAGGUGGCUUGAGAUUCGUCUUAAGUGUUUAUAGCCUCUUGCCUAUGCAGUCGGAGAGAUUGAGGUCUGCAGCGUAGAUCCUUCGGGGCUAAAUGCAUUUGUGCUAAGUUAUAAGCAUUUCAUAGACAACUUGUUGACUAUGAUUUGUCUUGUAGCUUACUCGCUUACGUUAUUUUACCUACGCUUAGGAUGUUGAGUAGCGACAUACGCAC